CCUGGAAUUCAGGCUUUCAGUUAACAGCUGUGCUGAACUCAUCAAGAGUUAAUUACUUGAGUUUCUUGUCUCUUAAUGUUGAUGUUUGAGAGCAUCAGUUAAAGUAAAGUAGUGAAGAGGUAGAGUUACAGGUAUACAGUGAAUAGUGAAUAUUUCAGUAAUGUUCUAAUCCAGAUUAUGAGAAGAAACAACUACUCAACUAAAUAAAGACAAAAAGCAAUGUUAUGAUGGAACUGGCACUCGUCAGGAACAUACCAGGAAAGGAAGAGCAAGAGUUUCCUUUGUUGUACUGGGUAGGUUCAUCAGAGUUACCAGCCUCAGAAACCGCAAGUUAACAAACAGCUCCCCAGAUAAGAGCGCCUAUAAAUACUUCUUCACAGAGUAUUUAGGUUUGUUUAACACUGUUUUUAAGUUACUGCAUGGUUCCUUAUGUGUUCCUUCAUAAUCUGAUAGAUCACUUCACUGUUCAUUUACUAUGUAGGAAAAAGAUGAAUAAAUAAAAACAUUGAAGGAGAAGGUGUGUUCAAACCUUGACUGGUACUGUAUUUAAAAAAAUAAACUACUGACUCUUACAGUCUGCAGUUUAAAUUAUGGAAUUCUGGACACAUUUUAAUGGUUUUGUUUUUAUUAAUGUGUAUGUGUUUUCCAUUGAUUUUCCAUUCAAUUGAUGCUAAAUGUAAUGUGUUUUUAUAAUUUGUAUACUUUUUCUAAUUUUUAAUGAUUAGGUAAGUCUGUGACUGUUCUUGCUGAAACUCCUCCUCUCCUGCUGAGCAGUUCAGCACUAGUGAACUGUUAUUCUACUGUUAAUAAUGGGUACUGGGCCAAAUCUGCUGAAGUGUACAGAGUUCUGAGCCCAUGCCCGCUGAGCACAGGAACAGCGGCGGUGGCAGGAAAUGCUUGCUGUGAUGUGAUAAGGAGGAUGCCUCUGGAAUAGCUGAGGCUCGCCCUCCUCGCACCCGGGCGAGUCAGCUGGCUUGUCAGGAGAGGCUGUAACUCUUGAUUUAUAACCAGCAGAAAUCACAAUUUAACACUCAUUAAACUGAGGCAAUAUCACUCUCUCUCUCACACACACACACACACACACACACAGAUAAAACCGCACACACACUCACGCAGCGUCAUUUUUUGACACUCCCCAACUGACAGCUUUAGAAUGUGUUGAUGUGUUACAGUGGAUAUCUGUUUAUUGUCUACACAGUACCAUAAGUCAUGGGACAUCAACAUAUAUAAAUUGAUAAUCAAGUGUUAGAGUGAGGUCUGUUAAAAGUGGGUGCAUGUGAAUUAUGGGAGUUGUAGUGAGGGCUAAUAAUAGUGGGUGCAGGUGAAUUAUGGGAGUUGUAGUGAGGGGCUGAUAAUAGUGGGUGCAGGUGAAUUAUGGGAGUUGUAGUGAGGGCUGAUAAUAGUGGGUGCAGGUGAAUUGUGGGAGUUGUAGUGAGGGGCUGAUAAUAGUGGGUGCAGGUGAAUUAUGGGAGUUGUAGUGAGGGCUGAUAGUGAAUGCAGGUGAAUUAUGAGAGUUGAAAUGGGGGCUGAUCAAAGUGGGUGCAGGUGAAUUAUGGGAGUUGUUGUGAGGGCUGAUAAUAGUGGGUGCAGGUGAAUUAUGGGAGUUGUAGUGAGGGCUGAUAAUAGUGGGCGCAUGGUGAAUUAUGGGAGUUGUAGUGAGGGCUUAUAAUAGUGGGCGCAGGUGAAUUAUGGGAGUUGUAGUGAGGGGCUGAUAAUAGUGGGUGCAGGUGAAUUAUGGGAGUAGGAAUGAGCUCCCAACAGGCUUACAAUGCAAGUGAUAGAGGCAAAGAAUUGCCCAUGAAAAUAAAUGGCUAAUUUUACACCAUUAAUAAGCUCAAAGUAGCUUCACACUUCAUCAGUAGAAUUCUGAAGGCCCAGAUAUUUAAAAUGAGGCACUAAGAACUCUGUAAACACUUCAGGUAGUUCUCCAAGCCCCAUAGCCAUUAUAGCCAUUCUUUGCAUGUCCAGCACUAUGUCCUGCUGAGAGAAUUGUGUAAAAACGCUGUAUUUUGGAAUGCUGGGGGUGAACAGAGGUGGGAUCAUUGACAAAAGUUCAUACACCUUUAUUUAAGAAGAAAUAAAAUAAUUCAAAAUAAAAAAUGAAAAGGGGACACACUAAUAUUUAAAGCAGUCAAAUGAAGAGAUAAAUAAUUAGAAUAAUAAAGAGUAAUAAAAGUAAAAAAAAAGGAUAGAAGAGAAAAAAAAUCUAAAUAAGAUAAAGAUUUAUAUAAAAAAAGAAAAAUGUAAAAAUUAAAUAAAAUCUGUUAAAAUAUAAAUAAAUAAGUUAUUGUUGUUUACAAUCCAGUAUCAGUAUAAUGAAAAUGUUUAAAUUAGAUUCAAUUAUACUCCAUGGUGACACUAGUAGCCUCAGCCUGAUCUGCUGUAAGUCUCUGUUGAGCUGUUAAACUGGUGUUGUGUAUGUUUUAAAGUUUAUGAGUUAAUAUGGAGCAGUUGUAUUGAUAAUAU